rnacentral:lncRNA from 1 species
GGCCUUAGGGUGACUUUCUGGAGAGGCAAGCAUCUUCAUGUGAGACCUGCCAAAGGGUGUAUACCUUCUCAAAAGACCCUGCAGUUUCUUCUCCAAUGUGGACAACGCUGAGCAUAUGAUCUUUCGGUGUCUAUCUGCACUUUCUUUGACCUGUUGGACAACCAGUUGUGGUCCAUUUGGGAGCUCCCAUCUCAUUAAAAAAUGAGAACAUCCUGAGCCAGACAAAGAUGCUCUUUGUACUUUUAGUUUCAUUCUGAACCCAAGCCAGAAAUCUACCUAAGCAACUCAC